CAGAUUGAACGCUGGCGGCAGGCCUAACACAUGCAAGUCGAGCGGAUGAAGGGAGCUUGCUCCUGGAUUCAGCGGCGGACGGGUGAGUAAUGCCUAGGAAUCUGCCUGGUAGUGGGGGAUAACGUCCGGAAACGGGCGCUAAUACCGCAUACGUCCUGAGGGAGAAAGUGGGGGAUCUUCGGACCUCACGCUAUCAGAUGAGCCUAGGUCGGAUUAGCUAGUUGGUGGGGUAAAGGCCUACCAAGGCGACGAUCCGUAACUGGUCUGAGAGGAUGAUCAGUCACACUGGAACUGAGACACGGUCCAGACUCCUACGGGAGGCAGCAGUGGGGAAUAUUGGACAAUGGGCGAAAGCCUGAUCCAGCCAUGCCGCGUGUGUGAAGAAGGUCUUCGGAUUGUAAAGCACUUUAAGUUGGGAGGAAGGGCAGUAAGUUAAUACCUUGCUGUUUUGACGUUACCAACAGAAUAAGCACCGGCUAACUUCGUGCCAGCAGCCGCGGUAAUACGAAGGGUGCAAGCGUUAAUCGGAAUUACUGGGCGUAAAGCGCGCGUAGGUGGUUCAGCAAGUUGGAUGUGAAAUCCCCGGGCUCAACCUGGGAACUGCAUCCAAAACUACUGAGCUAGAGUACGGUAGAGGGUGGUGGAAUUUCCUGUGUAGCGGUGAAAUGCGUAGAUAUAGGAAGGAACACCAGUGGCGAAGGCGACCACCUGGACUGAUACUGACACUGAGGUGCGAAAGCGUGGGGAGCAAACAGGAUUAGAUACCCUGGUAGUCCACGCCGUAAACGAUGUCGACUAGCCGUUGGGAUCCUUGAGAUCUUAGUGGCGCAGCUAACGCGAUAAGUCGACCGCCUGGGGAGUACGGCCGCAAGGU
rnacentral:rRNA from 1 species